rnacentral:pre_miRNA from 1 species
GGAAUACUUCCUCCGUCCAAUAAAAGAUGUCUCAAGUUUAUCAAAAUUUAAAUGUAUUUAGACAUGACCUAGUGUAUAGAUGCGUUCAAAUUUGGUCAAAGUUAAGACAUCCUUUGUUGGAUUGAGGGAUCACUAU